UUGCUCUCAUUUUCCCAGGAGCAUUUAUUCCAUGCGGACUCUUGGUCCCUGAUUUUACUUUGUGUCCUGUAUAAGUGCUCCCAAUCAUGUGGCCCCUGGCCAUUCAUUCUGAGAGACUAACAGGACUCACGGCGGGCCUAUCCCGCCAGGAUUUGUUGGGGCCAUGGUUGAGGGUUUCGAGCACGAAUAUUAACAUUGGGAUUUUUCUACGAGGCCAACGGUCCUUGGGACCAAAUUGUCUUGGAGCAGAACAAAGACACCCAAAGAAAUGCACCGUACGCACCAGCCCCUACCUUUUGUCUGCCUUUCAUUGUCCACAUGGUGGGUCCACAUCCACAUGAGACCCAAGGCUUUUCAUCAGGCCAGAUGUACCCAUCACGCGCUUGGACCCCAGGACAAUCGCCAGCAGAGCACCGCUCGUGUGUACCUACUGUCCUUGACUUGGACUUGGAUGAUUUCCUCAUUUUUAGAAGGAUGGACUGGCCUCUGUUUGCAGAGCACUCAGUCCAAAUGCAUUUUUAGAAAGCAUGCCUGUUGCCUCUUGGAUUAGUUCAAUACAAUACCUGGAACCAGACCCCGGCCAUCAUCUUCUGGUGGAGCCAACCUGCAGCCAGGUGAGCUGGCUUUACACAGGACAGGUGUCUGCCAGUGACACCCCCCAAGAGAUAUUCCUCUGGAGCAGAGGGAUUAUACAGAUGGGAACUCACACUCUAUCUGGGAAGCUGCAAAAAUAUUUUGACAUCCUGAAAGCUGGUUCCUGUUAGCAGAUCUCUUCCUGUUAAAGUAAAAGAAGGGGGAAAAAAAGGAAAGUAAGAAAAGCAAGUCUGUCUUAAAACCUACCCUUGAUUUAGAAAGAGACCAUCUUCUGGAAGCAUUGUUCAUCUCCCGACCAUCAGAUAAUAUUGCUGAUUGAUCACGUCAGAUCCUUUUCUCUUAUGUUUACGAAAGGACCUCAUUGAGCCAGUGCCUUUUGGGGCCAUCUCUUGAGUUCCAUGUGUUUUGCCCCACGUGUGCAUCCAGGAAACUGCACCAUGGAUGCAGGUGAGCCGAAGGCUUUGGGUGUGAGGGAGCAGGACGACCGGGUGCCGAGGGAGCUCAGACAUCAGGACUCACCUUGACCAGGAGCAGGUGCAAGGAAUAGGUGUAUCCGCUCUGUGUUUGGUUGAAGCCACCGAGGAAAGAAGCAAAGACACAUCCAUGAUCGAGUCCCUGGAAGAAGGACUCAGGCUCAGGGGUCUGUGCUGGCCCACCAGGAGUAGAGACUGGAAUGUCACCCAGACUACAACCACUGGCCCAAGGAUUGGGGUUGCAUCUUCGGGACACUCUAGGUGCUUCUCCCAAGGGACCACCAUCUUUUGCCCUCCGUGGCACCAAUAGCAAUGGUGUGGCCUCCAGGUGAAGGUGAGACACCCAGGUGUUUAAGACAUGGCAGCACGAAGGGGAGAAGAAAAUCCAGAGACAGGAAGCUGAGGCUCAUGAGAAGCGUGAGCCCCUACGGUUUACCCAUUCUCCGAUGAGUAAAGACCGUCAUGGCAUUGAAAACCCAGUACUGUGCCUGGCAUGCAUGCCCAAGAGGCUCCGAAAACAGAAGCGAAGGAUCCAGAGAGUGGUAUCAUUUCAGCUCUGUUGGGUGAGGAGCAGAAGACGGAGUUCCCUCCUUCAAGGAAACGUCUCUGAAGAUCCAAUGACAUGUGUCCCAGAGGAAGCAUGUGGGUAAUCCUGUCCUAAUUUUUGUAAGGAAAUGUUGAGUGUCUCCAACCAAUGGAAGAAUUCAGGAGUGGAUGAGAAAUGGAGGCCCCCCAAAUAGAAGCCCAUUGUCCAAAAUCAAGGGCUUUGGACUUUUGGACUAUGUGCCUGGAGAGCUCCCUCCACCAUUUGUUACAGAACUCAAGCGGAGCGUUGACGUGGCUGACAUUGAAUUUCUCGUGUCCUGUGCCUUCCAUGUGCUCCCAGCUCGAAAGGAUGAGGUCAAAGGUUUACCUUUCUAGCUGGCAAAUGGUUUUCGCAGUUCCACCAGGAGGCUGUUGGCAGGGGGAAGGGGCCAUCACUUCUCUGCAAUGGUCCUUUGUGUACGUAUUUGAUCAGCACUAACUUUCUUGGGUUUUACCGCAAGGAGUCUUGGUCCCUUGCCUGGAACUGCAGAUUUUAACACUAACACUAUAGCUACCGUGACAAUUGAAAUGAGACCCUGUGAGCAGACAGCCUGGCAUGUGGAAGAGCAUGUCUCCUUUCCUGCCAUUGAAACGUUUUUAUUUUACUCCCCACUGAGCUUCGGAUCCACAGUCUUUCCCUCUUUGGUAAUACUGAAUUUCAAGUGACUUCUGUCUCAACCAAGGGAGACAUUCCCAGUUGGUGUGCUUGCCACUGAACUUAUUCAAGGGAACAAUUUGGAGACCUUGGAUGGAAACCCCACAUGCGCCUGACCUGCCCGCCAUUUACGGAGUUUUAUUUAUUCACUGGGGUCUUUGCUGUGCCUGAGACUAAGUGGCGAUGUUCGUCGGAAGUGGUCUGUUUUCUAAGAUGUUCACUGAGGUUGACUUGGUAACAUUUUCCGUGUGCACUCGCUUAAGAGGCUAUUGUGUGGUGUGCAUCAUAUCCCAAAUUUUCUCUUCUCCCAACUGGA